AGCUCCAAUAGCGUAUAUUAAAGUUGUUGCAGUUAAAAAGCUCGUAGUUGAAGUUCUGGUUGUAUGGGCCUCUGCACUUGAUGCGUAGGUACCAGCAACCAUCCGCUUGCAAAUACAUGUCCUUCUUUAACCGGUAGGCUGUAUGAGCAAGCAAUUUACCUUGAGAAAAACAGAGUGCACCAGGCAGGUAUGUCCGGAAUGCAUUAGCAUGGAAUAAUAGAAUAUGACCGAAGUCGAUUUAUUGGUUUGAGGCUUUAGUAAUGAUUAAUAGGAACAAUCGGGGGCAUUGGUACUUGCCAGUCAGAGGUGAAAUUCUAAGAUUUGGCAAAGACUAACUGAUGCGAAAGCGUUUGCCAAGGAUGUUUUCA
rnacentral:rRNA from 1 species